rnacentral:rRNA from 1 species
UNUGACUUGAGUGCAGAAGGGGAGAGUGGAAUUCCAUGUGUAGCGGUGAAAUGCGUAGAUAUAUGGAGGAACACCAGUGGCGAAAGCGGCUCUCUGGUCUGUCACUGACGCUGAGGCUCGAAAGCGUGGGUAGCGAACAGGAUUAGAUACCCUGGUAGUNCACGCCGUAAACGAUGAGUGCUAGGUGUUAGGCCCUUUCCGGGGCUUAGUGCCGGAGCUAACGCAAUAAGCACUCCGCCUGGGGAGUACGACCGCAAGGUUGAAACUCAAAGGAAUUGACGGGGGCCCGCACAAGCGGUGGAGCAUGAGGUUUAAUUCGAAGCAACGCGAAGAACCUUACCAGGUCUUGACAUCCCGAUGCUAUUCUUAGAGAUAGGAAGUUACUUCGGUACAUCGGAGACAGGUGGUGCAUGGUUGUCGUCAGCUCGUGUCGUGAGAUGUUGGGUUAAGUCCCGCAACGAGCGCAACCCUUAUUGUUAGUUGCCAUCAUUAAGUUGGGCACUCUAGCGAGACUGCCGGUAAUAAACCGGAGGAAGGUGGGGAUGACGUCAAAUCAUCAUGCCCCUUAUGACCUGGGCUACACACGUGCUACAAUGGUCGGUACAACGAGUUGCGAGCCGGUGACGGCAAGCUAAUCUCUGAAAGCCGAUCUCAGUUCGGAUUGGAGGCUGCAACUCGCCUCCAUGAAGUCGGAAUCGCUAGUAAUCGCGGAUCAGCACGCCGCGGUGAAUACGUUCCCGGGCCUUGUACACACCGCCCGUCACACCACGAGAGUUUGUAACACCCGAAGUCGGUGAGGUAACCUUUUAGGGGCCAGCCGC